rnacentral:tRNA from 1 species
GCAGGGGUUCCCGAGCCAGGUCUAAGGGGCGGGACUCAAGAUCCCGUGGCUUUAAGGCCAGCGUGGGUUCAAAUCCCACCCCCUGCA